rnacentral:lncRNA from 1 species
UCCUAAACGACUGUGAAGUAGGUCUGGAGGAUUUGCAACUAGACAGGCCUUAGAGGAUGUUAGUGAGUUAAGGUAGUAGAGUCCGUCUGAUUCAACUCUUGUUCCAAUCGUCUGUCCCGUACUGCGGUCCUGCAUAAUAAAAGAGGCAUCAAUAAAAUAUAUUCCGCAAUGGAGGGCACGAGUCAAACGACUCACAGAUGCAAGAUUAAAAGGACAGCCAGGGACAUUCCUGCAUAAUAAAAGAGGCAUCAAUAAAAUAUAUUCUGCAAUGAAGGGCACGAGUCAAACGACUAACAGAUGCAAGAUUAAAAGGAAGCCAGUGACAUAAAGAACGGAAUCUAGAGUGACAGAGGGUAGAGGAUUUGCUUGACCAACUCCUUUUACUUUAGUUUGAGACCCAUUAGCUAAAGUAACGUUGAGAAGAAACUGCGAAUACGCAAUAUUUGACAAAAGGGAUUUAUUACCAGAGAUAUGAUCAUAAGCAGCUGAGUCCACAACCUAUUGUUCAAGAGGACUAGACUCGGAAAAACAAGCAAAAG